CGCGGAUCAAAAUCUAAUAAAUAUUUUUUUUAUCGACUUUAUAUUAAAACCCAUAAACGGGUGGAAGUUUACAAGCGGAUUCAAGUACAAAGGGCCAAAGCCAAGAUUAUAAAUUAAUUUAAAGCCCUAAAAGGAAGAAAUAUAUAAGGUUGAAUGCUGAUCAUACACGUGUUUUCUUUUUCUUCCACGCAUUCAAUUCUAAGUGCUUCACUGACAUCACACCGUCUUCGUUCAUCACCAAGCAGAGCAACUACAAAACAACGCCAUCCAGCUUGAAGGUUUUCUUCCAUGGCUUUCUCGAUCUCCGCUAGACGCCUUUUGCUUGUCGCCGGGACUGAGGAUAGGAUCUACGACCAUCGGAGGAAUAAGUUCUCAGAUCGCCAGUUCUGAUACAUUCCUUGGAUCACCACCUAACAAGGCGAAGAGAAUCCAGUUCUUUAUGAUCAGUUCCAGCUAAUCCGCAUCACUUGGCUUCCAGACAAGAGGAGACUUUACUCACGGCCGAAUAUAAUCAACAAGUAAAGAUUUAUAACUCUUAGUUAGAAAGAAGACGCAAACCGAUAAGGUAAGAAGAUCCAAUCAGAUCGCAGGUAUGAUUGUCUUCUGGACAAGGCUUUUAGAAGGCAUGAUUAGGAUGCAGAAAGAUAGAAACAAAAAGAUAAAACCGAACAUUAGUCAGAGGUAAAACCAAACGAGUCGGACAUAUAAUCUGAUAAAACGGAAUCUACAAGAUCGGAUUAAAGACCAAAAAACAAAAGAAAAAGUUGGGUGGCGACCGAAAACCGCCGGUGACCAGAUCAGAAAUUUCUCUAGAGUUGAAACCGGAGAGAAGUUAGAGCUUACACUUUCUUUUUAUUUUAUUUUCGGAUUUAAAUUAAUAAAAAUUUACAAUAGAAUCAAAGAAAGAAAGAAGGCAUAUGUCAGCCUUUUGAUUAGAAACAUUAUCAUCGACACAUGUAGACCUCACGGACGCUCUCCUCCAACCACUCACUCAACACACACUUUUUUCCUUGCUUCCUCACCAAAAGUAAAAGUCUCAAAUAUCCAGCUUCCCCAGAUGCGCAAUCCAAAUCAUCAGACAUGACGACGAUUCCAAUGGAUAUCGUGAACGACCUCUUCCUCCGUCUCCCAGCGAAGAGCUUGGUCCGCUUCCGAGCUCUCUCCAAGCCCUGCUACCACCUAAUCAACAGCCCCGACUUCAUCUCAUCCCAUCUCACCCGCGUCCUCCAAACCAACGACCACCUCAUGAUCCUCCUCCGCGGCGCUCUCCAUCUCUACACAGUGGAUCUCGAUUCGCCAGACACCCUCUCCGACGUCGAGCACCCGAUGAAACGCGGCGGCCCGACCGAAGUCUUCGGUUCUUGCAACGGUUUAAUCGGGUUAUCGAAUUCCCCAACCGAUUUAGCCUUAUUUAACCCGUCUACUCGUCAGAUCCACCGGCUACCUCCUUCUCCUGUAGAUCUCCCCGAGGGCUCCAGCACCCGCGGCUACGUGUUUUACGGGUUAGGGUACGAUUCUGUGAACGAUGAUUAUAAAGUUGUGAGGAUGGUUCAGUUUAAGCGUGACCCAGAUGACGAACUUGGUUCUAGUUUCCCUUACGAGGUUAAAGUUUUCAGCUUUAAGAUGAAUUCAUGGAAGAGGAUCGAAUCGGUUUUGCCUCCGAUUCAGCUCUUGUUUUACUUCUAUUACCAUUUGCUCUAUCGUCGUGGCUACGGUGUUCUUGCUGGUAAUAGUCUUCACUGGGUGUUACCUCGACGGCCUGGUUUGAUUGCGUUCAACAUCAUUGUGAGGUUUGAUCUCGCCUUGGAGGUUUUCGACUUUGUGAGGUUUCCGGAACCUGUUGCUAACGGUGAUGUUGAUAUUCAGAUGGAUAUUGGUGUGUUGGAUGGGUGUCUUUGUCUCAUGUGUAACUAUGAUCACAAGUAUGUUGAUGUUUGGAUGAUGAAAGAGUAUAAUGUGAGAGGUUCUUGGUGCAAGGUUUUCACGGUUCACAAACCUAAAAGUGUUAAAAUGUUUUCGUUUAUGAGACCUUUGGUUUAUUCCAAGGAUAGGGAUAAGGUCCUUUUGGAGAUUAAUAAUACGAAGCUGGUGUGGUUUGAUCUUGAGACUAGGAAGCUUAGUACUCUUAGGAUUAAGGAUUGUCCUAGCUCGUAUAGUGCGGAACUUGUUGUGAGUAGCCUUGUUUUGGGAUGUAAAGGAGAUCUUGAUAACAUUAAGCACAGGAAAGAACAACGAGAUAAAGAAGCUAGAGAAUCUAAAAUGUUGCAGAACAGUAAAAAGAGGGAUGAUUUCCUGUCAAAGGGAUUCAAACUGGUCUUAUAAGCAAAAGCAAGAGAACAGACAGAGAAGGUAAGUGUCAUUGUGCUAUUGUUAAUGGUGUUUUCUCUUCUCUUUGGGAUAUGGCCAUUGAUCCAAUGUUUUUAUUAAGAAUUUUUUUAUCUGCAAACCGCUAUCAUGGUUUGAAUUUUCAGGGCUGGGAGAAACCGGAAGGAAGAAUAGCUUUGGAUACCACAGGAGAUAGUAGUAAUCAACAACUUAACAAUAGCGUGUACCAAAGGCUUGGUAAUAAACAACCUUAACAAUAGUUUAAAUCUGAAAAGAGAAGAUACUUCAGUAUGUAUUGGAAGUGUACUAGUUCUAAGAUAUGUAACUUAAUAUGUUGUUGCUUUCUGUAAAUAGAGUGAAAUCAUAAAAUCAUAGUAUGUAACUCUUUUAAAGCUUGUUACGACUUAUGGACGAUGCAUAAAUUACGAUGUGAAGAAGAUUUUAUAAACCUGUCA